AGAAAAGUAAGCUAAUUAAAAGCUAAUGGGUUCAUACCCCAUCAAUAGAGUAAUUUCUCUCUUCUCUA
rnacentral:tRNA from 1 species